CGCGGGGUAGCUCAGUUGGUUAGAGCCUCCUACUCAUCAUGGGGAACGCGCCGGUUCGAGUCCGGCCCCCGCGC
rnacentral:tRNA from 1 species